GAUGAACGCUGGCGGCGUGCUUAACACAUGCAAGUCGAACGGUGAAGGCGGAGCUUGCUCUGCUGGAUCAGUGGCGAACGGGUGAGUAACACGUGAGCAAUCUGCCCCUGACUCUGGGAUAAGCGCUGGAAACGGCGUCUAAUACUGGAUACGAGCUGCGAAGGCAUCUUCAGCAGCUGGAAAGAAUUUCGGUCAGGGAUGAGCUCGCGGCCUAUCAGCUUGUUGGUGAGGUAAUGGCUCACCAAGGCGUCGACGGGUAGCCGGCCUGAGGGGGUGACCGGCCAAAUGGGAAUGGGGCACGGGCCAGAACCCCCAGGGGGGGAAGGGGGGGGAAAUUUUCAAAAAGGGGGAAAGGCCGUGUGGAGGGACCCCGGGGGGGGGAGGACGGCCUUGGGGUUAAAAACCUUUUUUAGGGGGAAAGAAGCGAAAGGGACGGUACCGGCAAAAAAGGCCCCGGCUAACUACGG
rnacentral:rRNA from 1 species